ACCGGCCCCCGGGCGGCCCGGGUCCCGGCGCUGAGAGUGCGGUCCGCCGCAGACCCUCGAACCUGAUCCGGCUCGCACCGGCGUAGGGAGUCGGGCUUCUCAGUCCU
rnacentral:ncRNA from 1 species